rnacentral:misc_RNA from 1 species
GAGGGAUCAUUACCAGAGAUGGCGGGCCCCGCGCCCCCGUCCCCAACCCUUUGUUGACCAAAACCUUUUUGCCUCGGGGGCAGAGUGGCCGUCAGGCCGCCGCCCCCGGAGGACCACCAAACUCUGUCUCUGUACGUCGGAGUCUUUUGAUAAAUGAAUCAAAACUUUCAACAACGGAUCUCUUGGUUCUGGCAUCGAUGAAGAACGCAGCGAAAUGCGAUAAGUAAUGUGAAUUGCAGAAUUCAGUGAAUCAUCGAAUCUUUGAACGCACAUUGCGCCCUUUGGCAUUCCGAGGGGCAUGCCCGUUCGAGCGUCAUUAAAACCCUCAAGCCUGGCUUGGUAUUGGGCGACGGGGACUCCCCGCGCCUCUAUUUCGCCGGCUGGCCGUCGUUUCGACUUAGCGUUGUGACACAUGUCGCUGACGACGAAGACGGA